rnacentral:lncRNA from 1 species
UUCAAAAGUAAUUAUUUUUUUAUUUCAACUCUAUAAAGUAUACAACAGGCACUCAGCAAUUACAGCUGCAGGAAAAAUACAGAGCAAAUCAAAGCAGGUAAAUUUAUGAAAAAGUUUUUAAUCUACAUCAAAAGAGUGCAAGUGGUCAAUGACCAUUUGAUGACAGUUUGUUGCAUUCUGACUAACAAAGAACUCUUUCAUGUAGAACAAAUUGUAAGAGGACAAUCAAAUAACCAUAGCUGUAAGAAUACAAAAGAACUGACCAGUUGUAAAAACAUCAUACAUUGAAAUAAAUUUGAUAGAUGAUGCUUAAAGAAAUGUCCCUUUACUCAGAAAGCCCCAACCUCUGAGUCAUUGCCAAGGUCCCAGAGCUCUGUCUGUUGAUUCAGGGGCAGAGAGGAGGGCUAACAACACACUUUCAAUGUUUUGCUUUCUAGGUCUGUUGAAAACUUGCCUCGUAAAUGAUUUGCAUAUACAAGAACUCGGAAAAAGCAUCCUGUUUUGUUGAGAGGUGCACCAAGUGACUUUUUCAUCAUUGGUUUCAUAACGAGGUCUGGUUAGCAGUCAUUUCCAAUUUUUCUUUUCGGUUGGACCAUUGUCAAUGGAGUCUAUAAAAUGAGAUAUGUUAGAACUUGACUGCACUAAUUUAUUUUUACAGAAUCUGCACAGCUUAGCAAAACAGGAAUACCUGUAUACAGACUGAUAGAAUGUCAUAUAUUAAUUUGACCUGCACAUACAUUUAUACAUUUCACAGAAAUGACGCUGUAUCUCAUUAACAGAUACACAGCUCUGGUACAUUUAACAGAAAUAAGAGAACAACUUCAUCAUUUCUGUAAUUCAUCAAUAUUAUAUAAUAAAGGCUUAUAAAUUGUUAGCAGAAAGAACUGUAAAACGCAGCAAGCUAAGAAAGGACAACAUUUUGAGGUGUGUUUGUCUUUGUCAUGCAGCAUAACACCAAAUUUGUUUUUUUAAUAGGAUGCCAUGAAUUUAAGGCACUUGCAACAAUGCCAGAUAGCCAGGUCAUGUUCUAAACUAUGGGACAGAUGAAUAACAGUACAGUUGACAUAAUUUUCAAUAAUACUGACAAUUAUGACAUUAAUUCAAGUCUACUUGGACCUAAAAACAUUAUUCAAUACAAAUAAAAUGAAAUAAUAAUGCUGUGAAACACUAAAAAAAGUUAUAUGUACCACAAAAUAUCACACAAAAAUACCUAUUUACAUAAAUAUUUGUCUGUGGUCCUAUAGUGAAAGAAAACGUUGUUAUGGAUAAUGCACAGAUCACCUCUAUUGUAUGAAAUCAGUUCUAAUAUCCUUAUUUUCAACAUGGUAGCUGACUUCAUUAAAUUUGUUUACCAUCAGUUCAGUCAUUUAGAAAUGAAACAGGAAAAAUUCAAUAGUUGAGUUUAUUACUACACAUGUGUAAUUCACAUGCAUAUUCCACAAUUUUAGGUAAAAAUUAUGACUUGUAAAGAAUAUAACCAAAAUAAAUUUGUUUUGAAUGCCACAUGGAUCUGAUUCAUGUCUUAAUAAGAAAGAAGAUAUAAACAUAAAAAGCAUGUAUAGCGUUUUUCCAGAAAUUAUUUUUUCAAAUGUAUUCAAUCUAUCCCAGUUGUUUUAAUGUUGCUUCCCUUGGCAGUUUCAGUUUUCCUGUGAGUCAAGACACACAGAAAGCCCUUAUUUCCCAUACUCAACACAUUAACAAGAAAAUCAUAUAACAAAUCAAACAAGUUGGCACUAUUCUAACUUAUCCAGAUGUUCUUUAAUGUAAGAAAAUAGAGGGGUUGUGAAAAAUUCAGAAAUAAAGUGAGAUGCAUUUUAUGGAACUGACCAUGAAUUUUAGCCCUAGAGUCUUCAUUAAGACAAGAUUUAAAUCCUAAAAAUUCAAUGUUGACAAAAUUAGACGAAUGUUUUCUGUUGGUACAUCUUGGAAGAUGUAGUUUACCUUUAUUUUGUGGUAAUUACUUCAGACAUCAAAUGCAAUGCUAUGGGUGAAAUGAACAAAGAUGCAGUAACAAGUGGGAGAAACAAUCUACAGUUUCUUGUGCUGAAUGCUACUUCUUCCUUCUCCAUUGAACUUAUUCAUAUUGGUUGUCUUAGACUUGAACCAUAGUUCCAAAAUCCAUAGCAAGUGCUAAUCUCUGGGACUUUGGGGAUUUUUAAAACGUUAUAGGAGCAGAUUCUCUUUCCAAAUAACAAGGUAAAUUUAGUAUUCUAGCAAGCCUUUCUUUAGCAAGCCUAAACCACAUUAUCUUUCAACAAAAGUUACUGAACAUUCACUAUAAUAUUGGAAUUACAUAUUUUUAAAAAGCCAAUUAAAAAUAUAAAACUCUUGAAAUAACAUUCAUAGCUAGAUUUUAGGUUGAUAUGUUUAAUUUUAUAUUCUAAAAUCUGUAGAAAACAGUGGAUAUCUUGGGGAAUAGACCAAUUUGGAGAAAUUGUAAGGGACGGAAAACUCCAAAAAUACAAGAAUAACAAUAUUUUAGGAUUAAAGUUCUAAUUGAAGUUUAUACCCUUUUCAUUUUAUCCUCCAAAAUUUUAAGAAUAUUAUAUUUUCAUAAGAUACCAUAUUCUAAGGUAGUUUUGAGUAAGAACAAUUCAAGCAAAAUUUAUAAGAUUUGCCUUCUUAGUUAAGGUGUAAUGAUCUAAUUGGACUUUUUCUUCCAGAAAUGUAGGCGUUUGAUUGAUUAAAAAGAAAACUCUACUGAAAAAAAAAGCAAGCGUCAAUUUAAUAUACCAAAUUCACACAGGGCCAAAACAGAAUGACAGCUUGAAAGCUUCUAUAUUUUUCUUCACAGGUAUAAUGUAAUUUUGUCCAGGAAAUGCUUCCAAAUGGCUGAGUUACUUAUGACAGCUAAUAAUAGUCAACUGGCAUGCCAGUGAAGGACUCAGUUUAAUUUGUGGAUUCUUUUCUCCAUGUGAAUAAAGUAAAUCAGCUUGACAUUUUCAAAUCUAGUCUUUUUUAGGUAGUAUGAAAUUGCAGAAUUGUAGUAAUUCUAUUUUAUUUAAAAUUUAUUUUAAAAAAAUCAGGUUCCUGUUUUCCUCUGUACUGCUUUCUUAGUUAGACAAGUAUAUGGACUCAGCUUAUUCACUAAAAGGUAAUCAACACCUGGCCAGGUUCUUGUUUUGUUCUCUGACCUCAAAUAAGUAAUGUUCCAGAUCUGGUAAACCUGUAAAUAUUAACAACUUUGACUUUGGGCUUUCUUUCUUUGUCUUUUCUACUUCUUUUAUUUCUGUUUUUCAUUCUUGUUUUUUGUUUGUUUGUUGUUUUUUGGUUCAGGCCUAAGACAAGAAGCUAGUUCAAAUAGGUUUAUAAUUACCUUUGUCUCUCAACUCUAGACUGACUAUGUUGUAUAAGUGAAAUUGGACAGGAGUUUGGUUUAAUAACUUUAGUGAAAAUGCUUGAGUUUCUGGCUACACGUAUAAUGAUUUGAAUUUGUGUUGUCUGUUCAGACACUGACAUUUACAGAUGAAAGAUAUACAUAGCACCUAUAUAGUUUUUAUUUAUUUUUUGGAUGGGUUUUAAUCCCUCCCCACUCCACCCUACCCCAAGCAUUUAUUUUUAUAAAAGGGAAUACUUUAAGCCUCAGUUUGAGGGUAUGUUAAGUAAAACCAAUUGGCUGCUAGUCAUUUACUUCCAGGACCAUCUUUAAGCACAAUAUUUUAAAAAAUAUGAAAUGGUUUUGUGAAUUGCUUUUUUUCCCCACUCUGUCAUGCCAAUUUAUCAAAAAAAACAAACAAAUAUCAUGCAUUAUUUUUCAGUCUUCUGUGAAAACUCAUAUAUACCUACUAUGAGAGGUCUCAGCAGAAUCUAUAGCAGUUGUGCUUUUAUCAUAUCAAUUUUUAAAAUCUGUCAGAAAGAAAAGGUAACAUUCAGUCUUGUCAUCAGCACUGCUGGGAAAUAAAAUCAUGAAACUUCUAGCACUGGUGUGACAUGAACUCUGUGACCAACAGAUGUGUGGUCCUCUUUUGUAUGGUAUAUACACCGGCCUGCAGUAAUAGAUCCCACAGCCUUCACUUGAAGAAAGGGAAUAGCCCAGUUUCUGUACCAUAGUAAUCUAUUGUACCCAAUAUAUUAUUCUUUCAUCUUCUUGAAUAUUCCAGCAAGGUACAGACUCUUAUACUACAUUGAAGUGUUUCCUACAGUCUUUCAAAUUAUAAUCAGAGCAAAGCAAGGUCAUUGCAACAAUAGAAAACAUCUUUUACUGGUGAAAGGCUUUGCUUCAGGACCACCAUGUCAACUGCUAUUUUAGGUUCAAACAGAAAACAUGUAAAGAGCACUAUUGUCAUCUAAGCGGUAAGUCCUAAUGCCACUGUAGUUACUGGAGCAGCAUCGAUCAAAGGCAUCAUGGUGACCCCGAGCACUAAUCUUCUCUCUUUCCCUCAGGUUUGCUGGCAGCUGUGUCUCAGAAAAAGCUGUCUUCAGCAAGGCAGAAGCAGAGGAUCUUCUAGAAGAUUUGCACUAUCAGCUUGGUAUUCAGUUCUCUAGCUUGAAAUGAUUUCAGUGCCUAACUGAAAAUACUCAUAUUGUCAAAGGCACACUAUGGACUUUCAAGUCACAGGUGAUAUUACUACAGUAUCUCCAACCAGUGUUAAGGGAAGCAUAAUACCAAUUCAGUGAGGCAUAUGGCUCUAAAACCUUCUCAUCUAAUAUUUAAGUAAAUAACAUCUUUCUACCUGUUCAAGUCAGAAAUUCCAACUGCAAUACAAAUAGACAAAUAUAAAAAUAGUACUGGGUCAAUGUACUUUUAAGGAAGGGGAUUUCUCCUGACCCCUGAUGGCAACGGUAACUGUUUACUGCACUGUACACAGUCUCAGGGAGUUCCUCACAUACUGUACUGGUGUCUGAUAUCAGGAACUCCUCUAUGUUCAGCAGAGAGGUGGAAAUCAAUCUGCAUUCUCAAUUAGGGUUUAUAGCCACACCGUCUUGAAAUGCAGUUAGUCAUAAGAGUACAUUUUUUUCUAAUUCUUGUGACACUAUGUCAGUUUUAAAAUUUAUAUUUCAAAUAAAUGCAAAGUAGAGUACGUUUUCAUAUUGUUUACACCACAUUCAUGCAAUGUAUUUAAUGUAUGAACUUGUACAAAGUGUCAUCAUCAUCUUCAUGAAUAUAUAGAUGUAUGUAUAUGUGUAUACAUAUGUAUACAGACAGUGUGUGUGAAAUAAACUAUAUAAAAUAUUCAAACUGUUAGGACUAGAAAUAGGUACUUGCAACUACAGAAUCACAGAAUUGCUACUACAACACCAUUUACUUCAUAUAUAUCUCUUCGAUUUCCCUUUAUAUGUAUUUAUAUUUACAUUUAAAUUAUUGUAAUUGUUGUUAGGGUGCAUAAUUGUUAGUAAGCACCACUCAGAACUAAGGAAAUAAAGAUUAUAGAAAAUUA